UACGUAGGGUCCGAGCGUUGUCCGGAAUUACUGGGCGUAAAGAGCUCGUAGGUGGUUUGUCGCGUUGUUCGUGAAAACUCACAGCUCAACUGUGGGCGUGCGGGCGAUACGGGCAGACUAGAGUACUGCAGGGGAGACUGGAAUUCCUGGUGUAGCGGUGGAAUGCGCAGAUAUCAGGAGGAACACCGGUGGCGAAGGCGGCGAUCUGGACGAUGACUGACGCUGAGACGCGAAAGCGUGGGGAGCAAACAGG
rnacentral:rRNA from 1 species